UAUGCAGCUCUAUAGCUCUUGCUGAAGGCAGUAGCACGGUGGAACUUUCGAUUAAGCGCUGUGGGGUAUGAAGCGCCUAACGACAUUUAUGCUUUUCUUCCGAUUGAUAUUAGUACAAGGUUAGUUAUGCGUGGUCCUAGAUAAACUGUAUGUUUACGCGCAAAGUGCUGCUACUCGUAUCUAAAGCUUCAAAUGUUUUCGUUGCGUUUUUCAGAAAGCCGCAAGUCAAGAACGCUACAGUGCCAAUGUUAUGUCACAUAUCACCGUAUGAUGGCAACAACUGUAGGCGAGCAGGUGCCCUCUGGUAUUAUGACGUUUCCUAUAAAUCUUGCAAAAUGCUCACCACAGGUUCCUGCAGCUCUGCUAGCAACCGCUUCCACACUAUUCACAAGUGCCAGCAAUUAUGCCAACCUCCCACUGGACGAGCAGACGCUGUAUGUCUGAAACAACCAACCGCUGGAAUGUGUUCGCUAGUAUCUCAUGCCUGGUAUUUUGACCGGUUGAGUCAAAGUUGCAAACUAUUCAGCUACACUACUUGUACGAAACAACACAACUAUUUCUUGUCAGAAAUGAAGUGCCAGUCUGUGUGCCUACCCCAGAGGUCACCAAAAGCUUUCUGCAGUGAACCGCCAAUUCCUACAUUUUGUACAGGCACGGCACACCGCUGGUACUUUGAUGAAAGGAAAAACACCUGCCUUGUAUAUCUAAACAAACGUUGUGGGAAAGGCAGAAACCGCUUUAAAACAUUUGCCCAGUGCAUGGAACGAUGCAGCUAUGCCACGUCUUAGGCGGACUACGCAUGACUUCAAGAAAACAAGCCAGCAUAAACUGGUGGCCCGUAAUGAGAUAUUUCCAGAGCGCUCUGACGCGCAACGUUUCUUUCUUAGAUUUAAUACGCAUAUCGCCAAGCGAAAAAUAAAUUUCUUACAAAUCAACUUUGUCGCUGCUA